YACCAGCACCYCGAGUGGUSGGGACGWUUAUUGGGCCUAAAGCRUCCGUAGCCGGUUGUGYMMGUCUUCCGUUAAAUCCACCUGCUYAACAGUUGGGCUGCGGAKGAUACYACACCGCUAGGAGGCGGGAKAGGCAAGCGGUACUUCAUUGGGUAGGGGUAAAAUCCAUUGAUCCAUUGAAGACCACCAGUGGCGAAGGCKGCUYGCCAGAACGCGCUCGACGGUSAGGGAUGAAAGCUGGGGGAGCAAACCGGAUUAGAUACCCGGGUAGUCCCAGCUGUAAACGAUGCAGACUCGGUGAUGGKCUGGCCUUGUGCCAACCCAGUGCCGCAGGGAAGCCGUUAAGUYUGCCGCCUGGGGAGUACGGUCGCAAGACUGAAACUUAA
rnacentral:rRNA from 1 species